GACGAACGCUGGCGGCGUGCUUAACACAUGCAAGUCGAACGGAAAGGCCCUGCUUUUGUGGGGUGCUCGAGUGGCGAACGGGUGAGUAACACGUGAGUAACCUGCCCUUGACUUUGGUAUAACUUCAGGAAACUGGGGCUAAUACCGGAUAGGAGCUCCUGCUGCAUGGUGGGGGUUGGAAAGUUUCGGCGGUUGGGGAUGGACUCGCGGCUUAUCAGCUUGUUGGUGGGGUAGUGGCUUACCAAGGAUUUGACGGGUAGCCGGCAUGAGAGGGUGACCGGCCACAUUAGGACUGAGAUACGGCCCAGUGUCCUACGGGAGGCAGCAGUGGGAAAUAUUGCACAAUGGGCGGAAGCCUGAUGCAGAAACGCCGCGUGCGGGAUGACGGCCUUCGGGUUGUGAACCGCUUUCGCCUGUGACGAAGCGUGAGUGACGGUAAUGGGUAAAGAAGCACCGGCUAACUACGUG
rnacentral:rRNA from 1 species